rnacentral:rRNA from 1 species
GACGAACGCUGGCGGCGUGCCUAAUACAUGCAAGUAGAACGCAGUUGCGAACGGGUGAGUAACGCGUAGGUAACUGCCUGGUAGCGGGGGAUAACUAUUGGAAACGAUAGAUAAUACCGCAUACUACUAGAUGGACCUGCGUUGUAUUAGCUAGUGGGUGGGGUAACGGCUUACAAAGGCGACGAUACAUAGCCGCCCUGAGAGGGGGAUCGGCCACACGGGGCCUGGGACACGGCCCAGACUCCUACGGGAGGCAGCAGUAGGGAAUCUUCGGCAAUGGACGGAAGUCUGACCGAGCAACGCCGCGUGAGUGAGGAGGGUUUUCGGAUCGUAAAGCUCUGUUGUUAGAGAAGCGGUAUCUAACCAGAAAGCCACGGCUAACUACGUGCCAGCAGCCGCGGUAAUAC